rnacentral:rRNA from 1 species
GCAGUCGAACGGUAACAGGAAAUAGCUUGCUAUUUUGCUGACGAGUGGCGCACGGGUGAGUAAACUAUAGUUAAUGUACCCCAAAGACUGGGAUAGCCACUGGAAACGGUGAUUAAUACUAGAUACACCUUCUUAUCACAAGGUAAGAAGGGAAAUGUCUUUUCGCUUUGGGAUCAGACUAUAUCCUAUCAGCUAGUUGGUGAGGUAAUGGCUCACCAAGGCAAUGACGGGUAGCGGUUCUGAGAGGAUGAUCCGCCACACUGGUACUGAGACACGGACCAGACUCCUACGGGAGGCAGCAGUGAGGAAUAUUGCACAAUGGGGGGAACCCUGAUGCAGCAACGCCGCGUGGAGGAUGACGCAUUUCGGUGUGUAAACUCCUUUUAUAUGUCAAGAAAAUGACGGUAGCAUAUGAAUAAGCACCGGCUAACUCCGUGCCAGCAGC